GUCUGCGUGAUUACCAGAUAUGCUGCCUGGUGCAGGCAAGGCCAUCACUUUGUAUCUACUGCUCUACAAGACUUCAGGUGUUUUAAGUGACUCAGCUGGCACAAUCUUCAAAGUGUUUCUCCUUGUGGUGCCUGAAUCCACCCCAGCUGUCAAUGAGGGUGGUGCCAGUGAUGCUUGCUGGGGACACAGGGCCUUGGUCUCCAGGGAGGAGUUUGUCACUGGUGUGCCUGGGCCUCAGCUCUCCUCCUUCCUCUGAGGUGAUGGUUUACUGACUAUGAAUACUUUCAAAGACCUGCUUAAACAAAAGCUGUGAACCUAAAUCAGUCUGCUCUAUUAGAAGCUGGAGUGGUUCUGUGUUACUUUAAGAAGACUGUGAGAUGUAAUCACUGCAGGAGGUGAUUUUCCUUUGGUAGCUUCUGCCCCAUGGAGCUGCUGAGCUUGCUCAAAAGGCACCAGCUUCCAGACAUGGCUGUGUGUGGCAGACCAAGGCAGUACCAGAAGGAGAGAGGAAGCCUGAAGAUCAUUCAGAGACAUGAUGUGAUAUCCAGACCUCACAGGUGUUGGAAAAGGACUUCCUGAAAAUCACAGAGGACUGGACAGUGUUCACUGCAAAUCAAGGACAUAUAAAAUCACACUUGGAAGAAGGGCUCUGCCUGCCAGAAAACAGCCAUUUACUCAUGUUUUUAAUGUCCAUCUCACUUUACCUUGUCACUUUGUGUGUUUGGAAGCUGCCUAUAUUAUUGGAAAAUAAAAAUGAAAAAUAGAAGUUAUAUUCUACAAGGAGAAAACCUAUUAAGAACUUGGUUGCCUGUGAAGAGACAGAAGGGAACCUCUGUACCUUCCACUGUUGGAGAAAGUACAGGCAGAGACAUAUUAAGGCUCUGUUUAAUCACAGUCAUAUCACACCACUGAUGGACUCAUUUAAGCUGCUGCGGGUAAGGGUUUUUAAUAGUUCUUAAGUUGCAUGCAAGAGUUCCAGGCAGUUUUUAAAAUUGUCCCACCUGUGAAAUCAAUUUGCUUGAUUUUUUUUUUUUUUUCUUCUAUCCAGUAAAAUUAGUAAUAAAAACUCUUAGGGCUGUUAAUCACAGGAUGCUCACACCUGUUUUGCUAGUACCUUGGCCUACUUAAUGAAGUAGGAGCAGGAGGAGCAGCCUUGGCUUUGUGAGUAACCAUGUUUCCCCUCCUAGAGUCUAACUGAGGCUAUCCUGAACUGACUCACGGGGAACUAACUACAGGAAUAUAUGGUUUCUACCCAACACUUUACAGAUGACAGCAAAAUCAAGUCCAGUACUGAUGAGCUAGGGCUGAUGUUUUUUCAGCACUGGAAUGAGAAUCUAAGUAUGUAUUUAACAUUUGACUAAGAGACUCAAUUCAGUAGAUAUGAGGUCUAUGAUAGCCCUUACUUGCUGUGCCACUUUGAGAAUGGCUUAGUUUUUCUCUAUUUUGAUUUUUUCCGCUGCUGAAUAAGAACAAUAUUCUCUCAGUAUAAAGUGCUUUGAUAACAUCCAAAUGGAAUUUCUGUAAGCACGUUAUAAGUUUGUGUUAUUGGACUUUGAAUUUUACUCUUGGGAAAGUGCAUUAAUUAUGUAAGGCAGACCAAAGUUUAGCAAUGCUAAUGGAGCUCAACUAUUUAAAAAAGAAACCCUGAGAGGUAUCUUGAGACUCUGGGUUGUUGCUUCUGUACAUUUGAGCUGGCUCAGAAAUGGCAAAAGAAAUUCGUUGUGCUCUUCAAGUGCUGGGCUGACCAUCAUAUGCUCUUGGGUGGGCAAUGUUAAGAGUGGGUAAGUGGAUGUGGACAUUGUCACUUCUUGAAAGAGUGAGGUGUCAAGUCUCUCUCCUCUGUGUUGAAUGUGCCUACGCUUAUUUCUGCCUUUGGCUUGUAAGCCAUGUGGGAGCAAGACCAAGCGGAUCAUUCUAGCAAUUUUUAAAAGAUACUGAUAGGGAUGUUUGCUAAGGCAAGUAGAGAGGUAGCACUAGUUUUCUACCUGCCAUUUAGCAGAGGAUGGUUGUACCUGUUAGCUGAAGGAGAUCUGGAGACCUGGACAUGUCUCUCCAACAGUACCCAGGGAAUGUUCAGGAGGACCAAGAAAGAUAGUCAAAAUUGUCAGUAUCAUUUUCAAAUGUUGGACAUCAAUUAAUUUUUAUUUCUAAACCUAAAAAGUUUUGGUAGAACUAACAUCAUAUAAAUCCUAAGUCUGGACUAGCUUAGGAAUAGAUUUUAUAGGAAAUAUUCACUCUUAAGCUAGUAUUUGGAUUCUUUUUAUAGUAAACAGAGAAGGAUAGAGGAAAGCACUUAGUACUAGGGCUGGCUAAUUUGAUUGAUUUUUAGAUACUUGUUUAAGGACGAAAUUAAUCACACCUUAAAAACAUUUUUCACUGAGAAGUCUAAGUAAGUGGGUCAAAUAUAGGCAUAUACGUUUGUACAGAUGUACCACAAUGCAGAUUGUAGUUGAUAGGGGUUUUGUAUAGUGUCUUUCUACAGUUCAACCUUUCAGACAGAAAUCUCUCUCUCUACCUCUCUUUCUCGACUGAAGAGCUGUUUUCUGAAUAUUGACUAUGAAAUAAAAUAUUGCAUAUAAAAUUACUGGGGGGAAGCAAAUUAAAAGCUAUUAAAAUGACUCUUUAACAUCAAAUAGAAAUUGUGCCUUCUCAAAAUAUAUUGCGUUAAUGGAUAUUCUAAAAAGGAAGUGCUUUUGUUAAGCUUAAACAAGUAGUUUUCAACAGAUAUUCUUCUACAACUUCUUUCCUGUUAACAAGGAAAAACACAAUAGAGUUUAAGAAUUGUAUAGCAGAUGUUAGACUGCUGUGUGUUCUGUACCUAUGUUAUAGGUCAACACAAAGUGGAUAUAAUUGUGGGUUUUGUUAAUUUUAUAUUUAAAAUGAUCUUAAAAAUUUCGAACAGUUCAACAAAUUGGGUGUUUUUCAGUGGUUCUCUACUAUG